AACUCCCAGAUGCCAUAAGGUUGAUUUUUCAGUGACCCUUCAGAAGGCCAGUCCCUUUGGCUCCUACGUGGCACUACAGGUUCCAUACACCUGGGAUGCUGAGGCCAAGCCAGAGCUUCUCGGAGUCUCGGGCUACGGCUUUUCCCUAGUGCAAUGGAGACAGCAGGAGACAGGUCCCUAAGCAAGAUGCCUGGAUGGUUUUUGGAGCUGUCCAUCCUACCCAGGUGGGGCUCAUUAACCAUACCACCUUGGUGAGCAGCUAUGGAGCACAUCCUAACCCUCACGGGCUAACUACCUGAGAUAGCCUCUCAAGCUUUUGGAGAGCCUCAUACUUGUCUUGGGACCUAAACAAUGAAUGACAGGCCAGCAAGCGCUGAUUUCAUGCUUUGUGUGGUCAGGAUGAUGUGCUCAAGGGGCUGGUGGAAAGAUCCGAUUUCUCUGGUG
rnacentral:lncRNA from 10 species